ACUGUGGAGUGUACAAGAACUUGUGAGUAGCGAAUUGUUUACAAUCGCCAAAGCAUACACAUUGAAGCAGUAA
rnacentral:sRNA from 26 species